rnacentral:sRNA from 1 species
ACACAUGCAAGUCGUACGAGAAACACGUCCUUCGGGAUGUGGAGUAAAGUGGCGCACGGGUGAGUAACACGUGGGUAACCUACCUUUGGGUUCGGGAUAACUGGCCGAAAGGCCCGCUAAUACCGGAAAAGGCCGCAGGAGCUUCGGCACCAGGGGUUAAAGCCGGCCUCUCGAAGAAGCUGGCGCCUGAAGAUGGGCCCGCGGACCAUUAGCUAGUUGGUAGGGUAAAAGCCUACCAAGGCCGAGAUGGUUAGCUGGUCUGAGAGGACGAUCAGCCACACUGGAACUGAGACACGGUCCAGACUCCUACGGGAGGC